ACAAGAAUAUACUCUGCUACAGAAGAAUGUAUUUUUGUCAUUUACAUUAUCUUCAAAAUUUCCCACUUCUUAGAAGUGCCAAAUUUGGAUGUGCAAUGGGAAUUCCAAAUGGGUUCUACACUAAAGUAGGCAGAGUCAUAGGAAUUUUUAUAGGCUUUUUUGGAAGGCCACCAAACAGAAGCUCUGCGAUUUAAGGGGUUCCUACAUUAAAGACAUUUUAGUGGGGGACACACUACAUGGAAAGUAUGAGCAUACAUUAAUUUUGGGUUUAUUGUUUCUUCUUUUCUUGCAAGAGGGCAUGAGCCUCAGUUCGUAUGGCAUGAUGAUAGCAGUUUUCCGAAAUCUGGUUGGAGUAGCAUAUGUGGGAGUUAAUUAUUUUAUUGGAAUUUCAGGAGAACAAAGUAUAGUAAUAAUGUGGUUUAUAAAUGACAAAAAGAGAUGAAAUUUCAGACAAGAAAUUAUGAGACUGAUUAGUAAAGACAAACUGAUUCAUUUUGUAUGACUGGUUUAGGAAUUGACGAAUGUUAUGUACAGACGGUCUG